rnacentral:lncRNA from 1 species
GGUACUCUACUGAGGAUGGAAGGUAUGCCGCCUGUUCCAGGCCAUCCUCAUGGCACACACUACUAAACGACCAUCCGGAAAUUCAAAGGGUAUUGUAAUGUAUCAUGGUGGGUUGGGACUGUGGGGAUAUGAGCAUAUUAAUAUAUCAGGAAAAUCAAGCCCAUCAGGCCAAGGAAAGUAUGGAGCUCCUACCUACAUGUGAACCCCACAGAGAAGUACACAUCUAGCAGUUGGUUGGUGACAGUCCCCACUGACCUGUCUCCUCACUGCCCCGCAUGCAUCAAGAACUGACUAACAGGCAGAGAACUGACUCUCCCAGAGGCUUCUAGUUGCCUGGGUGCACUGUCAAUGCAGCCAUCAUCGUGGUAGAUGCCAUCUGCCCGCCUCUUGUUCUCCCACCUCUGUUGCCUGGACCCAGUCUUACCCUUUGCCUCUGCACCAAGCUGGACUCAGCUUUGCCGCUUCAUUCUCAAACCUACAACCCAGGGUCUUGACUUACGGCCACAGCUUCUCCAAGUUCUCCAGUCCCCUUAGGCCGUUAUCAGAGACUAGUGGCCUGAGUUUCCCAACUGGCCUGUUGGAAACUCAAACUCCUUGCAUCUUUAACCCUUUACAGCCAUUCCAUAAUCUGCACGUAGACAUAUACAGAGAGAGAGAGAUUUACUGUGUGAUAUGUAGUGUAUCGUGAGAGUAAUUAAGACUAGAAUAAAAUAACCCGUGUUUGCCUCAGCCAGGACUGCCAGGACUGCGGGAAUAUUUGGCAGAUUGCUGCCACUGAAAUGCUGUACCUUGCGAAUUGUCAAUAAAAUGUGACACUGGAAAACAC